GAUGAACGCUAGCGGGAGGCCUAACACAUGCAAGCCGAGCGGUAGAGUUUCUUCGGAAACUUGAGAGCGGCGCACGGGUGCGUAACACGUGUGCAACCUACCUUUAUCUGGGGGAUAGCCUUUCGAAAGGAAGAUUAAUACCCCAUAAUAUAAUGAUUGGCAUCAAUUAUUAUUGAAAACUCCGGUGGAUAGAGAUGGGCACGCGCAAGAUUAGAUAGUUGGUGAGGUAACGGCUCACCAAGUCAAUGAUCUUUAGGGGUCCUGAGAGGGAGAUCCCCCACGCUGGUACUGAGACACGGACCAGACUCCUACGGGAGGCAGCAGUGAGGAAUAUUGGACAAUGGGUGAGAGCCUGAUCCAGCCAUCCCGCGUGAAGGAGGACGGUCCUAUGGAUUGUAAACUUCUUUUGUACAGGGAUAAACCUACCCUCGUGAGGGUAGCUGAAGGUACUGUACGAAUAAGCACCGGCUAACUCCGUG
rnacentral:rRNA from 1 species